AUCGACCGGCUGGACACCCCGUGGACGUCACGGAAACGGAGCGCUUCAGCCCACAAGUGGAGGCUCCGAUCUCCCACCUUGCCGGCCCCUCGAGGGCGGCGGGUCACCGGUCAGGUGCCGUGUCCCCGGAAGAGGACGCGGUGCCCGACGCGCCCCGCGGAAUGCCGCGGCGGUGCUCCCGGUUGUGAGGAGCAUCCGCCUGUGACCCGUAUGGGGCGUUUUUC
rnacentral:ncRNA from 1 species